AAUGAACGCUGGCGGCAUGCCUAACACAUGCAAGUCGAACGAAGGCUUCGGCCUUAGUGGCGCACGGGUGCGGAACGCGUGGGAAUCUGCCCCUUGGUUCGGAAUAACAGUUAGAAAUGACUGCUAAUACCGGAUGGUGACGUACGUCCAAAGAUUUAUCGCCGAGGGGUGAGCCCGCGUAGGAUUAGCUAGUUGGUGUGGUAAGAGCGCACCAAGGCGACGAUCCUUAGCUGGUCGGAGAGGAUGAUCAGCCACACUGGGACUGAGACACGGCCCAGACUCCUACGGGAGGCAGCAGUGGGGAAUAUUGGACAAUGGGCGAAAGCCUGAUACAGCAAUGCCGCGUAAGUGAUGAAGGCCUUAGGGUUGUAAAGCCCUUUUACACGGGAUGAUAAUGACAGUACCGGGAGAAUAAGCACCGGCUAACUCCGUG
rnacentral:rRNA from 1 species